UAAAUGGAAUUUCUUAAAUAAAAGAUUUGAUUAUCUACGUAUAUUUUUUAAUUUAGCAAUGAGUAGAAUAUUUGUUGUCACCUGGUAACACAACGACUAUUGUAAAUUUUUUUAAAAUUUUUGAGGUUAUAGUUAAGCAUUACACGACGCAGCAAGUGUUUAAAAAAAAAAAAGAAUUUUCGCUCUUUUUCGUAAGUAUUUAACUUUCGUCUGACGCAUGAAACGUAGAAAGGGAAAAUCAAGAAAAAAUCAUGGUGUGAACAUAUCAAAGGAAAUAUACCAACUCACGUUGCGGUAAAACACAUCCACCAUAUCUAAGUUAUUCUAAAGAAAGUCUAGAAAACGCAAUAAAAGCCAUUUAAAAUGGUUUAAUGAAAUUAAAAGAGGCUUCCAAAAAUUACAAUAUUCCAAUGAGCACUUUGAGUAGGAAAUCUAGAAACAAAAAUUGCACGCAAGAAAAAGCUGGGCACCCAACUCUAUUUUCAAUAGAGGAAGAGAAGACUUUUGUAGAAUAUAUACAAUUACUGAGCCCUUGGGGAUUUCCUUUGGAUACAACUGACUUACGAGUUUUGGUACUCUACUGUGAUGAUAAAAACAGUAAAUAUUUUAUUUAUUUAUUUAUUUAACUCUUUAUUGCACCAUAAAUAAAAAUAUACAAUGACAAGUUACAUUGGAUAUACAAAUAUUACAUUGGAUUUAUCGAAAAUAUUAAAUUUGAUGGACAAAAAUAUAAUUACAGUGUUAAUUUUUACAAAACUAUUAAAAAGCCACAGCUUGCGUUUUGGAUUAGCAAGAAAAUUUAUCGCGAUGAAGUUGAUGACAUAUGGAUUGUGAAAAAAAUUAUUAUGAAUAAUAAUCCUAUGAAGAAAAACGAGUUUCUUCUCGCUGAAGAAAGCGAUAUGGUGUAUUUUUGAGAUACUUUAAGCCACUUUAUUUUUCCAGAAUUUGUUUUUAUGUUAAGCAAAAUUUAUAAUCUUUUGUUACAUUUUAUAGCAUUUAUGUAGCUUUAACUAGGUAUGUACCUAGUAGUUACUAUUAUGUUUCUUUUCAUAAUGAAGAUUAUAAAAUAAUUUGAUUAAAAAUAUA